rnacentral:misc_RNA from 1 species
GAUGAAGAACGCAGCGAAAUGCGAUAAGUAAUGUGAAUUGCAGAAUUCAGUGAAUCAUCGAAUCUUUGAACGCACAUUGCGCCCGUCAGUAUUCUGGCGGGCAUGCCUGUUCGAGCGUCAUUACGCCCCUCAAGUCCCCUGUGGACUUGGUGUUGGGGAUCGGCGAGGCUGGUUUUCCAGCACAGCCGUCCCUUAAAUUAAUUGGCGGUCUCGCCGUUGCCCUCCUCUGCGCAGUAGUAAAACACUCGCAACAGGAGCCCGGCGCGGUCCACUGCCGUAAAACCCCCCAACUUUUUAUAGUUGACCUCGAAUCAGGUAGGACUACCCGCUGAACUUAAGCAUAUCAAUAAGCGGAGGA